UGGUGUUGUUGCUGUCCCGUUGGACAGAGUGUUGCUCAGAGUUGUCAGCAGUGUUGCAUCUCUGCUGAGGGUCUGGACAGUCAGACACUUAGACCUGUCAGAGCUCUGCAUCCCAACUCAGCAUCUCACUGCGCUGCUGCUUCAUCGUGGCCCACUGAGCAUCAGAAUGAAGAAUGAGAACCUGCAGCAGUUUCCUGCCCUCCUUCAUGAAGUCCAGGACCCGGAGCUGACUCAGAGUUUCUUCAGUAAAGUAGGUGGAGACCUGACUUCCUGCUGUCUGACCUGGGAGCUUCUUUACUUUCUCUUACAGCACUCAUCAGGUCAGACCAUCACAGUCAACCUGAAAAAGGUCAG
ensembl:lncRNA